CUGGAGUGCAGUGGCGCAAUCUUGACUCAUUACAUCCUCCGCUUCCCAGGUGGAAGUCAUUCUCCUACCUGAGCCUUCCAGGUAGCUGGAACUAUAGGCAUGCACUACCACACCCAGCUAAUUUUUUUUUUUUUUUUUUUUGUAUUUUUAGUAGAGAUGGAGUUUCGCCAUGUUGGCCAGGCUGGUCUCGAACUCCUAACCUCAAGUGAUCUGCCCAUCUCAGCCUCCCAAAAUGCUGUGAUUACAGGCGUGAUCCACUGCACCAGGCCUCAUAUUGAUUCCAUUCAGUUGAAUAGUGGGCCUUGUGAAGAAGGUACCUGCUUCCCUUUCUGCCAUGAUUGUAAUUUUCCUGAAGUCGCCCCAACCAUGUGAAAGAAGCUGUUGAAACAGUCCAUCUUACAACCCUUCUCUGAUGCAACUAGAAGACAGCUGUUCGCAAACCAGGAAUAGGGCCCUCAUCAGACGCUGGAUCUGCGGGUACAUUACAAUUGGACUUCUCAGCUUGGAAAGACUAAGGAAGGACUAUACAUGGAAAGAGCAAUAAGAAAACUUUCUGCAAGCCAAGAUUGAAGCAUUAUCCAGUGUGGGGUCAACUUUGGGUCAUGAACAAAAUAAUUUUCUCAACUUCAAGGCACAAACAAUGGGCAGUGGUGAAUCUCCCAAGUUAGGUACAACCAUAUACGGACUAUUCUCAGUGUCCUGCUGACCUUCUCAGGGAACACUCAUUCUUCUCAUUGAGCAUUUAUUCUAAAUUACUUAUGGUAUAUUUAGAUUAGGUAGAAUUUUCUUUGCUAGCUUGAGCACAUACAUAUUACCUAAAAGACCAUUUGUAAGGUAAUACAUAUUCACAAUUCAACAUAGAAAAUUUUAAAAUUGUUAUAGUGCAACCUUUUGUAACUCCUGAAAUCUGAGUAUAAAGAGAAUUUCUUACAGCUUCUUAGGCAGAAAGAAAAACUUACUAACAAAGGAAAUCGCAUUAAACUUUCAUGUUCUCUUCUCAAACAUUAGAAGCUAAAUAAGAAUAGAGUAGCAUCUAUCAACCAAUGAGAGAAAGGGUCAGAAAUGUAAAACCCUGUAACAGUCAAAGUAAAAUUCACCUGCCAUUGUAAAAUAAACUCACUGGAGUGCAUGCAAGAACUCAGACCAUAUUUCAUUCAUCCCUCUUGUCUAUGGAUAAUGCUUGGAGAAAGAUCCUGACCUGAUACAAAUAAAUUCUUCCUAAAACUACAAGUGGAGAAAAAUAUUAUAAAUAGUAAAA
rnacentral:lncRNA from 1 species